CGCGAAUAACCCGACAGGAUCGUAAGAGCCUUUCAAAAACAAAAGAUGCCCGUACAGCUCGCAAGCAACAACAAAUUGAAGAAAAUCAGCUUUUUCGAGAGGAGGAAGGACUAUUGUAUGGACCUGGGAUUGCAGAUUAAUCGAUCAAUGGUUGAUGAGUGAUAGAUAGAGCAGUUUGGGACCUCGCGUCGGUGGCAGCAGACAAGAAAUUAUCCUUAGCCGCCAUUUU
rnacentral:lncRNA from 1 species